rnacentral:rRNA from 1 species
CCUUUUUCCACCGGAUAUCUCGGGUUUUUCAUCUCUAAAAAAAACCCCGCAAACGCGAAAAAUAAUGUGAAUUGUGCAAAUCUCUGAAUCUCCUCAUCUCUGAAAACAUCUCGCGCUCCCUGUGAUUUCCAGAAGAAUGCGCGUGU